AAAGCAUGGGAUUUGAUGGAAAUGUUGGUGUUUUUUGUCUCCAGCAGAGGGCAGUAGAAGAACAGACACACACACACUGUCUCAAACAGGUCCUGUAGGUGAAACUACAGUGUGAUGAUUACUUCAUUCUGGCCAGAGAAACAGCAGCGUGGGGUUAUUGUUCAGCUCUUAAACCAAACUGAGGCUUUGAUGCACAAAUUGGCUCUCUCAGGCUCGGCCCGUCCUCCAUCACGGCUCCGGGCUGACGAGUAACCCCACUUACAACGUGCCCCAGGUCCUCCACGCAAUUAAUGAAGUCAGGCCUUUGAUUGAUUUAGUCCAUAACGGGGCGCUCUCAGGGAAUUGAGCGGAGAUCAUGAAUUUGGAAAACACAUGAGCGAUGACACGUCCUCUCUUGCGGUGUAUUUGACUGACACGAGGUUCACGUGAUGGAGAUGACAGCUGUGGAUGUGGCCACAUAUCAUCAGCAGGGUCAGAUUCAGUCAGCGUGAACAUCAAUCACAAUCACCAUCGCCUCCAAUUACGCUCCCCUUGAGAAGCACCAUGGCGCACUGUUGGAAUGUGACACAGCCCACACAGUUUCCAAGGAUACAGUUCUCGAGAAAAGAGGCGAUAACAAACCUCCAUCUGUUCUGCUGUAUUCAUCACACAUGCCCACGACCCAUUUCCCCCAAAACUUCAUCUGCCAACUCACAGUUCAUUAGUGAAUACUGCAAGCAUCAGUUAAAACUCCUCUACACCGCUACACUGUGCUGCAUCAUUAAUCACUGUCUCUUCCAGAGCGCUUGGCUACUUCCUGCCAGAGAUCAUCAGAAACCCGCUGGACUAUUGUACCACUACAUUAUUCCUCAUUAUUCAG
rnacentral:lncRNA from 1 species